UUUUCGGCUGAUGCACUGACAAUAACAUUUUUUGCUACGCUUCUUGAUUGCUGUCUUGCGACAAUAGGUUUUGACAGAGUAUGUUGUGCAAGACCUCAAUGUGAACCCGAAGCUUCCUUUCGAGGAUAACACUUUCGAUGUUAUAACCAACGUGGUUAGUGUAGACUACUUGAACAAACCAAUGGAUGUAUUUAAGGAGAUGCGACGAAUCCUUAAACCAUCUGGAUUAGCUAUCAUGAUGUAAGAAGUAGCAUUGCAAUAAUUAUAUAUGCUAUUCGGUAAGACCUGUCAAAUGCCAGUUUGUCUUUCAUAAUUCGUUCUAAACGGCUACCUUUGACUCUGGAUAUAGUUUUUCAAAUCGCUGCUUCUGGACAAAAGCUAUAUCUAUCUGGACAUCAACUGGUGAUGCUGAUCAUGCUUGGAUAGUUGGUGCUUACUUCCAUUAUACUGGAGGUUUUGAGGCCCCUUAGGCAAUUGAUAUAUCUC